rnacentral:rRNA from 1 species
UACAGGGGGUGCAAACGUUGCUCGGAGUCAUUGGGCGUAAAGCGCGCGUAGGCGGUCGCUUAAGUCGGAUGUGAAAGCCCUUGGCUCAACCGAGGAAGUGCAUCCGAAACUGAGCAGCUAGAGUACGAAAGAGGGUCGCGGAAUUCCCGGUGUAGAGGUGAAAUUCGUAGAUAUCGGGAGGAACACCGGUGGCGAAGGCGGCGACCUGGGUCGAGACUGACGCUGAGGCGCGAAAGCGUGGGGAGCAAACAGG